AAUGAACGCUGGCGGCAUGCCUUACACAUGCAAGUCGAACGGAAGCAUGACAUAGCUUGUUAGGUUGAUGGCGCGUGGCGCACGGGUGUGUCAUGUAUCGGACCGUGCUAUUUAAUGGGGGAUAAUGUAGCGAAAGUUACGCUAUUCCCGCAAAUUCUCUGAGGCGCAAAGUUGGGGACUUACAGGCGUUGCGGUUGUAGCGCGGCCGCUGUCGGAUUAGCUAGUUGGUGAGGUAAAGGCUCACCAAGGCAACGAUACGUAGCGGGCCUGAGAGGAUGAUCCGCCACACGGGGACUGAGACACGGCCCAGACUCCUACGGGAGGCAGCAGUGGGGAAUUUUGCACAAUGGGCGCAAGCCUGACCCAGCCAUGCCGCGUGAGUGAAGAAGGCCUUCGGAUUGUAAAGCUCUUUCGGCUGGGAAGAAAACGCACCCUCGAAUACAGGGUGUGGAUGACGGUACCAGCAUAAGAAGCACCGGCUAACUACGUG
rnacentral:rRNA from 1 species